rnacentral:rRNA from 1 species
AUGGCCCUCCUCCACUGGAAGGCCACACUUGCAAACCCACAGCUACAGAUGAGCUCUUGGCAGGAAAACACCAGCCCCUGCAACUGGACGGGCAUCAUGUGUCCGACCAUUCGCCAUGGCCGCCGCAUGCCCCAAGUGGUGACCAACAUCUCUCUGCCGGAUGCCGGCAUUCAUGGCCAGCUCAGUGAGCUCAACUUCUCGCCACUUCCAUUCCUUUAUAUUGACCUUCGAAACAACAGCCUCCAUGGUGCACUACCAGCUAGUAUCAGCUCCAUUUCAGCACUUUCGGAAUUUCACCUUCACUACAACCAGCUCACUGGGAAUAUUCCUUAUGAGAUUGGUGCCCUGCAAAGGCUCAUGUUGCUUGAUCUCUCAUUCAAUGAACUCACAGGACAUAUCCCUGCGUCUCUGGGCAACCUAACUAUGUUAACUUAUCUUUACAUUCACCAAACCAUGGUAUCAGGUCCUGUUCCUGAGGAGAUUGGAAGGCUUGCCAACCUACAAUUUCUACAGCUAAGCAACAACACCUUAAAUGGCACGAUACCAAAAACCCUUGGAAAUCUAACCCAAUUAAAUACUUUGUUGCUCUAUGGUAAUCAACUUUUAGGGCCUAUAUCUGAAGACCUAAGCAGGCUAGUCCAUUUGCAAAGUCUUGGACUUGAGUCAAAUGAUUUUUCAGGUACAAUUCCAAUAUUCAUAGCCAAUCUCACUAGGAUGAACCAACUUUUUCUCUUUGAAAAUCAGAUCACAGGUCCAAUACUUCCAGAACUAGGCAACCUCACUAUGCUCAGUGAACUUUAUCUCCAUAAAAAUCAAAUAACAGGUCCAAUACCUUUAGUAUUGGGCACCUUGGCAAAUCUCCGUCUUUUAGACUUGUCCGACAACCAAUUAACCGGUUCCAUUCCCCAAGAGAUCGGCAAUUUGAUGAACCUCGAAUAUUUUGGCUUGUUUCAGAACCAAAUAUCUGGCUCUAUUCCUGGCAGCUUAGGAAAUAUAACCAAGCUAACAGAAUUAUCCCUCUAUGUAAAUUAGAUAAGUGGUUUCAUUCCCCAAGAGAUUGGCAAUCUCACGAACCUUGAAUAUUUAGGCUUGUUGGGCUCAAUACCAAAAACUUUCGGUAAGUUGCAAAGCAUCCAAGAAAUUCAAAUCUUUGGAAACAAAUUAUCAGGUUCUCUUCCACAAGAAUUAGGAGAUCUCAUCAGCCUUGUUGCAAUUUGGUUGUCUAGAAACUCUCUUUCAGGACUUUUACCCGCAAAUAUAUGUUCAAAUGGCAGGCUUCAAUACCUCGUUGUCUCUGCUAAUAUGUUGAGUUUCCCCAUUCCAAGGAGUUUAAAAUAA